CCGUUUAUUCACGCUCAGCCAUGCAUGUGUAAGUAUAAAUAAUUCUACUUUGAAACUGCGAAUGGCUCAUUAUAUCAGUUAUAGUUUAUUAGAAAUAAUUUACUACUUGGAUAACCGUAGUAAUUCUAGGGCUAAUACAUGAGUAAAUCCUCGACUUUGAAGAGGUGUGUUUAUUAGUAUGAAAACCAUAUGCUUUUGCAUAAUAGUGAGUAAUAAUAACCUUUCAUAUCGUAUGUUGUAAUAACGAUAGUUCUUUCAAGUUUCUGCCCUAUCAGCUUUCGAUGGUAGUGCAUUGGACUACCAUGGCAGUAACGGGUAACGAAGAAUUUGGGUUCGAUUUCGGAGAGGGAGCCUGAGAGAUGGCUACCACAUCCAAGGAAGGCAGCAGGCGCGUAAAUUACCCAAUCCUGACAUAGGGAGGUAGUGACAAUAAAUCACAAUGCGGGACUUUUAGUUUUGCAAUUGGAUUGAGAACAAUGUAAAAGAGUUAUCGAUAAACAAUUGGAGGGCAAGUCUGGUGCCAGCAGCCGCGGUAAUUCCAGCUCCAAUAGCGUAUAUUAACGUUGUUGCAGAAAAAAAGCCCUC
rnacentral:rRNA from 1 species